AACCCUGCUAGUAGUAUUGUAUGUUGUAUAACUUUUGGUAGGACCUAGUUCAGUAGUUAGCGAUAAUAAUUGGUGUAUGACAACGGUACAAUCCUUGUGAUUAUUGCCAUCUUGUAAAAGUACUUUAUGAUUAAAUAAUAAAUAGUGUGUAAGACAUAGUGUUUUAGCCAUAAUUAUAUAUUUGUCCUGUUCUUUGUAAUAUUGUAGUAAUUUAUGUAAUAAUCCGAGCACGGCCUAUACCACAAUAGUAGUUUUAAACCGUGGGUAAAUAAUGUUUUCAUCAUUAAUAAAUAUUUUACAGCCAAAAUUUCUCGCGUAAUAUGUAGUUUCUGG